UACAGAGGUCUCAAGCGUUGUUCGGAUUCAUUGGGCGUAAAGGGUGCGUAGGUGGCGCUGUAAGUCGGGUGUGAAAUUUCGGAGCUUAACUCCGAAACUGCAUCCGAUACUGCGGUGCUUGAGGACUGGAGAGGAGACUGGAAUUCAUGGUGUAGCAGUGAAAUGCGUAGAGAUCAUGAGGAAGACCAGUGGCGAAGGCGGGUCUCUGGACAGUUCCUGACACUGAGGCACGAAGGCCAGGGGAGCAAACGGG
rnacentral:rRNA from 1 species